rnacentral:rRNA from 1 species
CAAUAGCGUAUAUUAAAGUUGUUGCGGUUAAAAAGCUCGUAGUUGGAGUUCUGCCAGGUGCCGCCUGUCCGCCCCAGUGGUGAGUACGUGGCGCGCAUUUGGCCCUUUCAAGGGGAGCGUAUCUGCACUUUAUUGUGUGGUGCGGGAUCCUUGACUUUUACUUUGAGGAAAUAGGAGUGUUCCAAGCAGGCUCUCGUCGUGCACAGCUCAGCAUGGAAUAAUAGCAUUGGACCUCGAUUCUAAGCUGUUGGUUGCCAGAAGCGAGGUAAUGAUGAAGAGGGAUAGUUGGGGGCAUUCGUAUUUAACUGACAGAGGUGAAAUUCUUGGAUUUGUUAAAGACGGACUACUGCGAAAGCAUCUGCCAUGGAUGUUUUCAUUGA